UGGGGAAUUUUGGACAAUGGGCGCAAGCCUGAUCCAGCCAUGCCGCGUGAGUGACGAAGGCCUUAGGGUUGUAAAACUCUUUCGUCGGGGACGAUAAUGACGGUACCCGAAGAAGAAGCUCCGGCUAACUUCGUGCCAGCAGCCGCGGUAAUACGAAGGGAGCUAGCGUUGUUCGGAAUCACUGGGCGUAAAGCGCACGUAGGCGGAUAGUUAAGUCAGGGGUGAAAUCCUGGGGCUCAACCCCAGAACUGCCUUUGAUACUGGCUGUCUCGAGGUCGAGAGAGGUUGGUGGAAUUCCUAGUGUAGAGGUGAAAUUCGUAGAUAUUAGGAAGAACACCAGUGGCGAAGGCGGCUAACUGGCUCGAUACUGACGCUGAGGUGCGAAAGCGUGGGGAGCAAACAGGAUUAGAUACCCGGGUAGUCCCUGAGCGGGCUGGCAAGGCGCAU
rnacentral:rRNA from 1 species